rnacentral:lncRNA from 1 species
CCACGCUCCGUACGAGAGAGCGGACCGGCCAAUCAGAAGCUUUGAAUGAGUAUUUUACAAACUGAAGAAUUGGAUUGCUCUAGUUAGCGGCUGGGCUGGAAAGAACCGAGAGUGUGGCCUUAUUGCGGGAAGUGACCCUACUCUUGGACCGUGUGUUGUGGGGGGGGAGAAGAAAGUCGUGACCUUGGUCCUUCCCCACCCCAGGAGUGGUCAUGAUGACUCCCAGUGGGGAUUUGAUGGACACCCAUCUGCAAACUGCCUUUUCCACCCCCAGCAGGAUUCCCGUGUUGGCCCGGAAAUGCCUGCUUCUUUCUGGUGGAGGGUCCCAAGCCUCGGGCCAGGAGAAUCGGGAUCCAAAGGAGAUGAUGCAGAAGAAGAUGUUUGGUGCUCAGCUUCUCCAGAAAGACCUAGUCAGCCCUAGGCAGAAGCUGAAACAGCAGACUGUGGGCCUGAAGGGAAGCCUUCGACCCCGGGCCCCACUGGAGGAAAUCAGCCCAGGCUCUGUGGGGCAAAAUAUGGAGGCUGUUCCUCCGCCUAGGCCAGGUGCUCCUUUAAGGUCUAGAAAUACACCUCUCUUGGCUGUUGACUGCUGCUUAGAUGGAAAAGAGCCAGCCACAGCAAGGUCGACUGGGAAAGGGGCAAGACUGAUGGACCCUGGAGAUUUGGCCACCAUGCUGUCAAAGGUGGAGGUGACUAGCAGUGGUCACAGCUGCCAGACGGGUCUGGCCCAAAGAGUACUGAUCCGGGGGAACCAAAACCAAAAAUGUGCCUCCUAUGGGAUACAGCUCACCAACCCCCAGGAGAGCCGACCAUCCCCGCCUCCUCCGAAAUGCUGA